ensembl:snoRNA
ACCUUCUUGUAUAAGCACUGUGCUAAAAUUGCAGAGACUAGGAUCCUAUCUUGGUUUUUGUAAUAAUGCUAGCAGAGUUCACACAGGAAAAAGAGUAAUCACGCUAGAUCCCAGAGACUGGGGUGGACCUCUUUCUUAAUGUCCAAGGUCUGUUGUCUUAAGAUUUUGUGUAAUAUUG